rnacentral:rRNA from 1 species
AUGUGGAUUAAUUCGAUGCAACGCGAAGAACCUUACCUACCCUUGACAUGUCCGGAACUUGCCAGAGAUGGCUUGGUGCCCGAAAGGGAAUCGGAACACAGGUGCUGCAUGGCUGUCGUCAGCUCGUGUCGUGAGAUGUUGGGUUAAGUCCCGCAACGAGCGCAACCCUUAUCAUUAGUUGCUACGCAAGGGCACUCUAAUGAGACUGCCGGUGACAAACCGGAGGAAGGUGGGGAUGACGUCAAAUCAUCAUGCCCCUUAUGUUCUGGGCUACACACGUGCUACAAUGGCCGGUACAGACGGAGGCGAAGCCGCGAGGCGGAGCAAAUCCGAAAAAGCCGGUCUCAGUUCGGAUUGCAGGCUGCAAUUCGCCUGCAUGAAGUCGGAAUCGCUAGUAAUCGCAGGUCAGCAUACUGCGGUGAAUACGUUCCCGGGCCUU